UAUUUUGACAGAGUGAAGAAAACAAUAAUUAUCAGACUGAAAAAAAUAUAUUACUGAACGCUGAAGUUCAAAACGAUGUUUUCUAUCCAGUUCAUUUAACGGUUAUAGAACUCGUAAUGAUUUAAUCACACGGUCAAUAUAAUAAUAAUAAUAUUUGUAUCAAUAAAACACAGACAUUUUAUUUACAAAGCUCGUUAAUAUAAUUGUUGUUUUAAUACCCACGAAAUAAUAUAACAAUCGGUUUAUAUAGUGAGUGCACUGUGCAGUUAAGAGCGUUUCAUUUUACCGAGAUGUCGUAAAUAUAAGAGAUAAUGUUUUAUACUGGUUGUGACACGUGACUUUUUAUGUGUGUUAUUUUUAGGAAUAUUACUAAAAUGAUUUGCAUGCGCGUAUACAUAAUAAUACGAAUAUAGUCAGUAAUCAGUAUAUACAGUAUAGUACACGAUCAGUGACGCAGACAUGAUUUAUUAAAAUGGGAAGGGAUCAAUUAUCUGAGACGGCACCAUCCCUUCGUACCAUUUUUCCAAAUAUUUUGGUAGUUCUUAUUAUUAUUAUUUUUUUUGAAAUGAGUUUGAAUUGUUGUUUAAUAUUUUUCAUUGAAAAACGAAAAGCACAAUAUAUUAUUUAAUAACAACAUUUUAGAAUAAAAU